UGGGGAAUAUUGCACAAUGGGGGAAACCCUGAUGCAGCAACGCCGCGUGAGGGAAGAAGGUUUUCGGAUUGUAAACCUCUGUCCCUGGUGACGAAGACAGUGACGGUAACCAGGGAGGAAGCCACGGCUAACUACGUGCCAGCAGCCGCGGUAAUACGUAGGUGGCAAGCGUUGUCCGGAUUUACUGGGUAUAAAGGGAGCGCAGGCGGGAGAGCAAGUCAGCGGUGAAAUACAUGGGCUUAACCCAUGAACUGCCGUUGAAACUGUUUUUCUUGAGUGAAGUAGAGGCAGGCGGAAUUCCGAGUGUAGCGGUGAAAUGCGUAGAUAUUCGGAGGAACACCAGUGGCGAAGGCGGCCUGCUGGGCUUUUACUGACGCUGAGGCUCGAAAGCGUGGGGAGCAAACAGG
rnacentral:rRNA from 1 species